CUGGUCACUGCCGUCAUGCCCGCCGCUAUGUCCCCAACGGUCAACGUCGCGAGUUUCCGUACCCAUGUCCCUGUGACACUGGACCUCCACGCCUCCAACUUCACCAAGUGGAGGAUGCUCAUCCGCGUGCUUCUCGGCAAGUACGAUCUGCUCUCCCACGUCAACACCGUCACUGCCGAGGCGGACCGCACCGCGGACUGGGUUCGCGAGGACUACAUCGUCCGCUCAUGGCUCUAUGGGUCUAUCUCAGACGAGAUCCUUGACAUAAUCAUGGCAGAGGACCAGACGAUGCACGACGCUUGGACGCUCAUCACCAACCUGUUUCUUGAUAAUCAGAUGACCCACGCCGUUUAUCUCGAGGCGGAGUUCCGCGGCCUCGUCCAGGGCGAGCUCUCCAUCACCACCUACUGCCACCGUCUGAAGGUGCUCUCCGACGCCCUCAGUGACGUUGGCACCCCCAUCUCCGACCAGACGCUUGUCCUCAAUUGCCUUCAUGGUCUCAAUCCGCGUUUCUUGGACAUCACGAUGAUAGUCCCCAUGCAGAACCCUCUUCCUUCGUUUAGCCAGACGAGGUCGCUGCUUACUCUCCGCGAGACUCAGCUCACCAAUUCCAUGGCGAUAGGGCACCAGAUGGCCCUCUAUGGAGGCGUGCCUCCUCAUGGCGCUAGCGGCUCCACCUCCUCU
rnacentral:rRNA from 1 species